GGCUAAAGUAAUAGAGGAAAUAGAGAGAGAGGAGGUUAUCGAGGGGAAGGAUGGAUGCCAGUGAGAAAGUGGGCAAGAAGGAAAUGUAAAGGACAGAAUGUAAAGUAGGAGAGGAGAAAAUGGGGUGCAGAGAUGAGUGUUAGGAGGAUGGCUCUGCUUGAACACUGUGUGGUUCCAAUUUUUUGCAGAGCAUGGUGGGAAGUUUUUGACAGCUGGUGUACUCAAAACAAACUUACAAAGGAUAGGAAAUGGAUUAGACUUUUUAUAAUUGGUACUGAUUCACAAUAAAGUUUCUGGAGCAGGCAUGUCAUGGUGGACUAGUGGUUAAGAUGCACAACAUCUGACUCUUACAUCAACAUCACCGGUUGGAUUCCAGAUGAGGAUCUUUGUUACGUGUCAUGCCCCUCUCUCUCUUCACGUGUUUUCUGUUUGCCUGUAUACUGUCAACUAUCAAAAAAAAAGAAGCAAAGAAUCCUGGAUCGACCCGAAUCCAGAUUCUGAGGAUCGACUUAGGACAUCCCUACCAAAAAGAAAAUUAUGGACCAACGAUCUUUUUUAGCUCUACAGAAUGACAUGAGACGCUUGAGUUUUUAAAAACAGAAAAUGAUGCCAAAAUGAUGCGUCCCUCACAGUCGUAUCCCACUGAAGCUCUUACAUCAUCAUCAGCGUCAGAGAUGCCCCAGUCUGGAUCGCUAAAGAUGGAUCACAUCUAAACUGGCAGUUAUUAAAAGAAGACCAAAAAUACUCUGCCCUGCACACUUGCCAGGAAAUCUAAACAGGGAAUCGGAAAUUCAGUGGUUGAAAAAGGAGUCAGUGAGGUGAAUUUGUCAGUUCAAUAUGAUCCUCUGAGCUUAAGAUGUGUGACUCAAACCUCUACGGAAACAUUUUUCCUCUUCUGCUUUACAGUGUUCUGAUUUGUUUGGUUGCAAACACUGAAUAAAUUCUCUUUAUCUUGCAA